CCAGGGCUUUUUCGAUUUCCGACCUUGUGUAGCGUCUCUCUGAACCCCCUCGAUCGCCCGAGCUUCCGAACUUCUUCGACAAUGAGCUUCUCCAUCCAUCUACCGGGCCACUCCAAAGGCUCUCUAGGCCUCACUAUCAGCUGACCUCCUACAGUGGUCAACUAUUCUCCGAACUUCUUUCGAACUUCAUCAAUAUCCGAGCUUCUUCGACAACAAGAUUUCUACAGUAAUCAG
rnacentral:lncRNA from 1 species